rnacentral:misc_RNA from 1 species
GAUGAAGAACGUAGCGAAUUGCGAUAAGUAAUGUGAAUUGCAGAUUUUCAGUGAAUCAUCGAAUCUUUGAACGCACCUUGCGCUCCUUGGUAUUCCGAGGAGCAUGCCUGUUUGAGUGUCAUUUAAUUCUCAACCACACUUGGCUUUGUUAGGCUGGGCUUGUGGCUUGGAUAUGGGGGUACUUUUGCGGGCAUCACUUCUGAUGCCAGCUCCCCUAAAAUGCAUUAGCGGAACUGCUUGCGGUCAGUCACCGGUGUGAUAACAUCUUACGCCCAAGACCAAAGGCUGCUGGUUCAGCUCAUAAACUUGUUCCUAUGGACAAAUUUUGAACGAUUGACCUCAAAUCAGGUAGGACUACCCGCUGAACUUAAGCAUAUCAAUAAGCGGAGGA